rnacentral:rRNA from 1 species
CAGCAGUGGGGAAUAUUGCACAAUGGGGGAAACCCUGAUGCAGCCAUGCCGCGUGUGUGAAGAAGGCCUUCGGGUUGUAAAGCACUUUCAGUUGUGAGGAAAAGUGAGUAGUUAAUACCUGCUCACCGUGACGUUAACAACAGAAGAAGCACCGGCUAACUCCGUGCCAGCAGCCGCGGUAAUACGGAGGGUGCGAGCGUUAAUCGGAAUUACUGGGCGUAAAGCGCACGCAGGCGGUUUGUUAAGCUAGAUGUGAAAGCCCCGAGCUCAACUUGGGAUGGUCAUUUAGAACUGGCAGACUAGAGUCUUGGAGAGGGGAGUGGAAUUCCAGGUGUAGCGGUGAAAUGCGUAGAUAUCUGGAGGAACAUCAGUGGCGAAGGCGACUCCCUGGCCAAAGACUGACGCUCAUGUGCGAAAGUGUGGGUAGCGAACAGGAUUAGAUACCCUGGUAGUCCACACCGUAAACGCUGUCUACUAGCUGUUUGUGGCUUUAAGCCGUGAGUAGCGAAGCUAACGCGAUAAGUAGACCGCCUGGGGAGUACGGCCGCAAGGUUAAAACUCA